CUCUGGGUUCCCCAGGAUCCCAGAUGUGGGGUGUGUGAGUGUGUGUGUGUGUGUAUGCGCAUGAGAGAGAGAGAGAGAGAGAGAGAGAGAGAGAGAGAGAGAGAGAGGAGAAGUUUCAUUUCUCUGCGUGGAUGCAGGAACCCAGAGGCCAGAGGCUGAGGGCACAUCAUUUUCCUGCCCUUCUCAUAAUUCCCAGAAAUUGUAGGUCUUAACCCUGAUGCCUAUUAGAAAGGUCAGGAAGCAAUUUAAAGCACCAGGACCAGGCGAGCUGUUUGGCCCAGGCAUUGGUGGGUUUAAACACCAAGCCAAAUAAUUCCAAUGUAAAGAAGGAUUGAGGGCCACUGAUGCAAGAAGGCAGGUCAAACAUUUGGUGAGGUCCCUAACUGGGAGGUGGACUACAGAGAAGCUCAGGGGUCUGGAUUCAGAGAGCCGGCGGCUCUACAGGGGAGGGCUGUUUUGGGGCUAUCAGUCUAGAGCUCUGACCCCUACCUUUACUCCCUGUACAUAGUAAUAGUGACCAAUAUGUGCCAAACAAGUUCUCUGUGCUGGGCACUGCUGGAUGCAGCACUGGUGCCUCGCCCCUGAAUUCUCUAGAGCAACUGCUUUUGAAGAUCAGGAACCCCAGUCGCGGGCUGGGAACCCCGCAUAGCACCAGGGAUGCCCAGGAUGCCAGAGUGGCUACGGCGAUCACCCACGAUCCUGGUGUAGCUCCCGCCGACCGCAGCCUGCCUCAGGGUGGGUGCUCCGAACCGAAAAAGGGGUGGAAAGGCUUCUGGGGUGAGCGAUUCAGGUGAGGCUCUGGGGGAAUUGGGGCGCAAGGCGCAGGAAUCCAGCCCGGCCCAGAUGCAGUUCCUCUGCGCAGUACCUUCACCCAAGCUCAGACCAAUUCUGCUUUUCCCGUCGUUUAGCAAAGCUCAGGUCUUGGUAUCUGUGUUUCUGUGGCUUAAAAUGAUUGCUAUUUUAAAUUUUCAUCUUAUCUCUGGGAAGUAAGAAAAAUCCUUGGUUGUGUAUCUCUGUAAAUCUAGUGUUGUUUCCUGCUAAUUCUGCAGGUAGGCAUGGAUUUUCCACAAGCAGAAUUCACAGAGUUCACCCACUUAGAAGUUGCCAACGACUCCAGUAUCAGCCCUCUCCAGACCGUGCAGGUCACGAACACUUAAUAAAACAAAACAGGCCAGAGAUCAAGUAGCAGAGUGAGCAAGGAAAGAGAAGUGAACUGUUGGAAUCCUUGCUAAUCUCCACCCCAAUGCUUUAGGCUUCCAGAAAAGGAAAUGAAGGCCAUUUACUGACACAGAAGAGGACAGGCUGACCUCCCAAAGGAGGAUCAAACUCGGGGCCUCAUGUUCGCAAGAGGUCAAAUGAUCAAAUAAAGUGUAUCACAGAGGCCAGUCAGGACCAACUGCACCAAAUAACUUUCUCAACUUGCUGAAUACAGAUUCCUAUCCUCCACUCUGAAAUCUCAUAUAGCAGGUCUUUUGUGGUCCCUUCAAACUGCAUGGAAACAAACUGAUAUACAGCCAGA